rnacentral:rRNA from 1 species
AUUGAACGCUGGCGGUAUGCCUAACACAUGCAAGUCGAACGAGGUAGCAAUACCUAGUGGCGGACGGGUGAGGAAUACGUAGGGAUCUGCCCUUAAGUGGGGGAUAACCCGGGGAAACCCGGAUUAAUACCGCAUGAUCUCGCAAGAGCAAAGAGGGGGACCGCAAGGCCUCUCGCUUUUGGAGGAACCUACGUCGGAUUAGCUAGUUGGUGAGGUAAUGGCUCACCAAGGCGACGAUCCGUAACUGGUCUGAGAGGAUGAUCAGUCACACCGGAACUGAGACACGGUCCGGACUCCUACGGGAGGCAGCAGUGGGGAAUAUUGGACAAUGGGCGAAAGCCUGAUCCAGCAAUACCGCGUGUGUGAAGAAGGCCUUCGGGUUGGUUAAAGG